CUCUCUAAUUGUGUUUUAACAAUCACAUGCCUCCCACUCCCACCUCACUUCCAAAGGCAUCCUGCAUCUGUGCCAGCUCCAUUUCUGGGGGGAUGGACCCUGAUUCCAAACCCUGAUUCCCAACUCUGAUUCCAAACCCCGAUUCCAAACCUUCUCCUUGCUGCACCAGACAAACCCACUGUUGAUUUCCUGAAAAAAAUAUCCCUGGAGCUCAGGAUCAAUGUGGAUCCUCUAACAGCAAAUCAGGUAAAAAGAUGGGAAGUGUGAAGUUAAAAAGUGAGAAAUCCAACCUCUCAAAGAGAAGUGAAAAUGUUCAUCUCUUUAAAAGUCAAAACAAACUGCAAAACUCUUCAUUAAGUUGCAGGAAAUUGGAAGGGAGAAAAACAGCCAAAACCAGACAUGUGUUAGACAAAAAAAUAGAUAUUUCACUCAGAAGAUGCUGAGGAAAAACAAGUCUGUCAGCAGGGUUAUGUCACCUCAAAGCUGUGUGAUACCAAAACUUGAACCUGGAUUUAAGCAAAGGUUCUCAAAGAGGCCAAGUAAA